CACUGCUCCACGCGCGAUUGUUUUGGUGAUAGUUAUCUCUCUCACCAUAUAUCAGAGACGGAUUUCAUAUCCUCAUACUACACGGACUUACCGCACACUCGGAAGAAAACAAAAAAUUGGAUAGCUCACCCAAAAAUGAAAUUUCUGUCAUCAAGAGUUGCUAGGCACCACCAAAAAGUACAUGCAGAUCCAGCAGCUAGAGCAGCAGGGAAACAAGAGAGGAUUAUAGCUGUCAUAUUAGCAGCUUACUACCGUUUCUCCUCCCUCUGUUCAAGAGAGGCCAUUGAGGGGACCCAAAAUACCCAUCCUGAUAAAGUCAUGUUGGCAAACAGAGAGCAUUCAUAAAUACAGCAGCAAGCAGUCAUUUUUUGGCCCAAGUAUGUCAGAUGCAAAGUGACAAGCUAAUGACUAAGUACAAUGAAAUGCUUAUUUUUCAACAUCUGCUUCUGCUGUCAUUUACUCAGCAAUAUUAUUAAAACUAAUUAAAUGAUAUUGAAUAACAUCAAAAAUAUUACAAUACUAAUAUUCUUUCCAUUUUGCCAAAAAAAGAAAGAAAGAAAAAAAAGCAUUUCAGCAUAACAUUCAUAUUUAUGUAAAAAUGAAACACUUAUUCUGACCUGUAUUUCUAAAAAAUAUAUUAAAAAAAAAUUUCACUUCCUUACAAAAACUUCUUGCUGACAAAUGGGUAAAACCUAGUGGUUUGAAGGAUAGUGAUAAAUUAUAAAGUUUUAAAAUUAUUAUUUAAGUUAAUAUUUUGAGACUAAGCUGUGAUCCUAAGUGUUUUACCAUGUCAUUAAAUUAUUCUUGUUCUAAAUAUGCCUAACAAGAAUUUUUUUUACAUAUAAAAUAAUUACACUGAACGGCAUUUUAGUGGGUGCCUUCUGUAUAUCAUGGUAAAAAAAAAUAAAAAUAAAAAAAAAGUAUGAUUCUAUGAAGGACAUUCUAAUAGUUGGGGGAAAAAGUAAGUUACAUUACACUUAUUUUUG